rnacentral:lncRNA from 1 species
GUUCGAAGUGGCAAACACCAGGAUAAAGAGGACAGCUACACAGCACUCUCAGAAAUCUACAGCAGUGAAAUCUUUAACGGAAGACUGUCAUCUGCCUCUGUGCUUUCUACGGGAUUGUUUUGGGCCUUUACAUUCCUCAGCACUUGAAUUUUCAACUUAUCUGCUGCAUUUCUUCAAAUGCUGAUUUGUUGUAACUCAGAAAUUAUCUUAAAAGGAAGUCACGAAGGAGGAGCCCAAGAACUCGUAGCUAGAAGGUGUCAGAAGCUGCAUUUAGGGGAAUGAGAGUGGUAAGAGAAGUCUUGGAGCAAGAAUGCAGGACACCAGGGUAAAAGUGCAGUCCAUAGAAUCCUUCCCUAAGCGCGCUGAACACGACGAGGUCAUAGAUACUU